rnacentral:rRNA from 1 species
GACGAACGCUGGCGGCGUGCUUAACACAUGCAAGUCGAACGGUAAGGCCCUUCGGGGUACACGAGUGGCGAACGGGUGAGUAACACGUGGGUGAUCUGCCCUGCACUUCGGGAUAAGCCUGGGAAACUGGGUCUAAUACCGGAUAGGACCACUGCCUGCAUAGGUGGUGGUGGAAAGCUUUUGCGGUGUGGGAUGGGCCCGCGGCCUAUCAGCUUGUUGGUGGGGUGAUGGCCUACCAAGGCGACGACGGGUAGCCGGCCUGAGAGGGUGACCGGCCACACUGGGACUGAGAUACGGCCCAGACUCCUACGGGAGGCAGCAGUGGGGAAUAUUGCACAAUGGGCGCAAGCCUGAUGCAGCGACGCCGCGUGAGGGAUGACGGCCUUCGGGUUGUAAACCUCUUUCAGCACCGACGAAGCGCAAGAGACGGUAGGUGCAGAAGAAGGACCGGCCAACUACGUGCCAGCCGCCGCAGUAACAC